rnacentral:rRNA from 1 species
UGACGGGGGCCCGCACAAGCGGUGGAGCAUGUGGUUCAAUUCGACGCAACGCGAAGAACCUUACCCAGGCUCGAACGGCAUUGGACAUCCGGCGAAAGCCGGCUCCCGCAAGGGCCGAUGUCGAGGUGCUGCAUGGCUGUCGUCAGCUCGUGUCGUGAGAUGUUGGGUUAAGUCCCGCAACGAGCGCAACCCUUGUCCGCUGUUGCCAUCACGUUAUGGUGGGCACUCUGCGGAGACUGCCGGUGAUAAACCGGAGGAAGGUGGGGAUGACGUCAAGUCAGCAUGGCCUUUAUGUCUGGGGCUACACACGUGCUACAAUGGCCGAUACAAACCGUCGCGAUACCGCAAGGUGGAGCUAAUCGGAGAAAGUCGGUCUCAGUUCGGAUUGCAGGCUGCAACUCGCCUGCAUGAAGUUGGAAUCGCUAGUAAUCGCGGAUCAGCACGCCGCGGUGAAUACGUUCCCGGGCCUUGUACACACCGCCCGUCACAUCACGAAAGCUGGCUGUACUAGAAGUCGCCGCGCUAACCCGCAAGGGAGGCAAGUGCCUAAGGUAUGGUCAGUGAU